UUUGUAUAGUGGAUAGUUCAUAGACCUCUACAUCACAAUUCAGUGGAAAAGUAGUGGCGCUAAGGUGGGCAAUGGAGAACAUGCUUCAACAUUCGACCUGUUAGAGUUUUGGGAUAGAUUGUAGGGACCUGAUUGCAAUGAUUAAAGAUCCACAGUCUUGGUCAAACUUCUCAACACAGAUGGAGGUUAUUCUUUUUUUUUUUGAACAACAGACGGAGGUUAUUCAACCACUUCAAAUAUGCUUUGUGGACUUCAAAAUCUCCUACAUUCCAAGAGCGCAACAUGAUAUUGCUGAUUCUUUAGCUAGGGCUGCUCGAUCAUUUCACAGAAACCUUUGUUUUAUUGGUUGUUCUAUUCCAUUUUGGUUACUCAGACCAGAUCCGGCUCUACACGUGUGCUAGAGGUGAAAAAGCACAUGGUCUCAUAUUUUUUUUCUUGAAUUUCCUUAAGCUUUAGAGCCCUAAUUUUCUUUUGAAAAUGUUAGUAACCAACAUAUAUACAUACAUUUCUUUAAGCUCUAAGGCCCUAAAUUUCUUUUAAAAAAUGUUAUUAUCAUCAUAUGUAUGCACAUAGCUAGGAUAGAAAGAUAAAUCUGUAUAUGUUUUUACCGUCUUUGUAAAACCCAUUUAUUUUUACAGGUCACUUCUCUAACAAGAUUUAAUUGGUUUUUUAUUAUUUUAAACAAAAAAAAUUAACAGCAUAGAGUCUUUGCAAACUUUGAGCCGGACCUGAUUCGGACCACUUCAAAUUGGAAUAAUAGAAUACUCAUUUGUUGCCAAAAAAAAGAAAACUAAAUACUUUUUUAAAAAUGAUAUUUUUUUACCAAAUAAAUUUAUGAAAAGAGCAAACAACAUACUAUCGUCGUUUUAUUUUGUUGGUCGUUCCACAAGUUCUAGAAAGCUCCCGGAACGUAAUGCAUUAAUAAUUUAAUAUGCUUUUAGUAGUCUGGAGAACGAUCUAUGCUUCAAUAUUAUUUGCAGGCACUAUCACCAGAGCGUCCACAAUUUUUUUGUCUUCUUGUGUUUCUUUUCAUAAAUAAAUUUCCUUCAUUUUCAAAUUUAACUCAUCAACCAUAUGCUUUUUAUAAACUCACGGAAAAUUAUAUCAAGCAAUUAUCAAUAUUAUUUCUUUUUUUGAUCAACUGAGCUUUUUUUUUUUUUUUUUGUCAAUUUGGUCAACUGAGUUUUCCAUUUAUUAAGUCCAUUGAGCUGAAAUACAUUUGGUACCAGAAAUACAAGAGUAUAAAGAUCCAGUAAAAUUAAAAAAUUACAAGCCCAAUAGUGGAAACAUCUGGAUGUUAAACUACAUGGUCUUAGUGAACUAUCCAUCUGAAUCCGCAUCACUUGGACACAUGUCUUCCAUGCGUUAGAACAACAUUCUCGGCCGCACCGUAGAAUCUCUCGACCGUCCAACCUUCCCAACGACGCCUAUCUCUCCGCUGCAAGAUCUCCGACACCAAAAGGCCUUCCACUUAAGCCGUGAAUACUUGAAGAAAGGAACUUUGAAUCACCGAAAUUAUACCAGAGGAAGCUCAAUCCGAGAUGAGAUAAGAUCCUUUGUUGGACCGCCUUUAGAACGCCAGCUCUUCUGAAUCCUCUCCAUUCUCGAUUCGAAGCAUCCAUCAAAAUUCAUCUUUCUUCCAUCAGAGAAGCUCCGCUUGAUGUCAGAUUAAAGUGCGAAGACUCAUUCUCCUAGAUAAGAGAUCAGAGAUCAGAGUGAAUGAUGAAUAAAACAACUUUACCCAGAAUUCUACGGGAUAUACAUUAAGAACGAAGUGGAAAGCUAAGCAAACUUUAUUAAACGAUCCAAAAAGACAGAGAAAGAUAGAAAAGAAAAUGAAGCAAAGUUCUGUUAUGGAUCAAAGGACACAAUAAAAUCGCCA